GUUUUACUUCCCAGGAAGAAGUGAAGCCCCAUGGAGCAUGAGGGGGCAGCCAAGGGGCUGGGCAUCACAGAAGCCCUGACAUUUGCUGGGCUCCUACCCUGUGUCACAUAUUAUAUCAAGAACUUUAGGAGCUAAGAUAUUCUCUCACGAUGGAAGAGGUUAGUCCCAGUCCCGUUUGCCUGUGGACAUCUUGCAUCAUCCUCUGAACAAUCUUUCCCUUCCUUCCUCUUCUUUCCAGUUCUCGUCCCACCCUCUUCCCUCUCUUCUUUUCUUUUUUUUUUUCUCCCCUCAAGCCCAAGACUUUCCUGUCAUGCCAGGCAAUGAUUCAGCCACUUCAGUUCUGGGUGGAUGGAUAGGCAGGGCUUAAAGCAGGCAACCCUCAUGCUGUCAAAGCCAAAAAGUAGAGGAAUUAUAAAAGCCUCCACCAGGGGUUGCCUAAGCUCUGGUGUUUUGCCCCCACUACUUUAAAGGCGAUUCGUUUAAAACAAAACAAAACAAAACGAAAAACAACAACUUACUUUGUAAAGCAUAAGCUUAAAAUAAGAAAAACAGAAGUGCCUAAUCAGAUCUUUGGAAGUAUUGCAUUGCACUGUCACUGAGUGAUAUAUGACUGGCUGUCUUUCUGUUUGGACUGCAUUCAUCUGAAUGGAGUGGGUACAUUGGCUACCGCCUUUUCUCCUGGUUUUCGCUGUUUCUCUUUGAUCUAGAAGCGAUUUAUUCUUACUCCUCCAGAUCUCUUUAUAAAGAGCCACAGGGAAGGGAAACAAUGAUGGCUGUUUGGGAAUAAAGGAGGGCUCUCACAGUUGAAGUUUUCUCCAUCUAGGCUUGGGUAAGGAGAAGGGCUUCUGGUCCCUCAGGCCUGUCAGUCAUAUACCUGGGACCUGUCCCAUGGUCAUACAGACCAGACCCUGCACACCUGCAGUCUCAGGUUCUGACAAGCAGGUAUCUUGCAAAGCGGAGCCCACAGCUGGAAUUCAAGGCAAAGCCCAUCCCCUCUUGCCAGCAAGGCAGGAGUGUCCCUUCUGAAGUAAAAGCCAGAGGACAAGAUGGACUGGGAAACACUGCAAAGACAUUGCUCCUCGGCCUUUGGUGACAUUCCUCCAAGGUCCCCUCUCACAGGUGUGUUAUGAGACAUACCUCAGGCAUGAGUGGACGCAUCAACAAAAGGAAUAGCUAAACACAGCCUGAAAUAGGAUGCCUUCAAGGGGACAAACAGAAAUGUAGGAGGAAGGAUCUUCAAAGACAUGCCAAAUUACCGUGACUCAUUACCAUGGCCCUCUUAAGAUCAGUGCUCGCAAGAAGUAGUUUAUGCCAAACAAGUAUAGCAAGAAGAGCAACCUUGCUGGGUGGGUGAGGAAAAUCAGUCCUCUUUUCUAUGACAUGAGACUAAUUAUUAAAAGAAUUUCAAUUUUGUCUUUACCAAGACAUGAGUUCCUUAUGUACUGCAUGCUGUCUUCUGCUUUUUAUUUGAAGAAAUGUGGCAUUUGGGAAGCAGCAGAUGUCCCCCCUGUGGAAUCAAUGUGAAAUGAUAUUUUUGUAACAUCAUUAAAAAGUCUAUCAAGGCUGAGGCAGGAGAAUCGCUUGAACCCGGGAGGCAGAGGUUGCAGUGAACCGAGAUUUGUACACACAUGCUUGCCAAGGGCUCUUCCUAUUUUUUUAGCCCUAUGUUCAGCCAAUUUCCUCCAAGGAAAACCGUGGAUGGAACUAAAUGAGAUUUCACCCACUUGGUGCAAUUUGGUCAGAGGGUGGAAUGUCCAGCCAUCCAGGUUGACCCGGGGCAGGGCCUCAGUCUCACCUGUCCUGGGAAGGGCGUCCUCAUGAGGUCAAGGCUGGAGAAAAAGCACAUAUCCAGGAACUCUAGCCCUCUGCAAGGCCUCAACAAAUGGUGGCUCUUACUGGUGUUAGUAUCACAUAUGCACAGAUAAUUUUCAGAAUCCAGAAAGGGGAUGAAGUGUACAGAUCAGUAAGUAGCACCUCUCAGAGUCUAGCAAACACAUUGACAUUUAAGCAGUGAGAUGUAUGAAUAUUAAUACAAAAUAUGAUAAAUGAAGAAAAUUCAGUAUUUUAUAAACAGUUUCAUAUCAUCCAUUUUAGGUUUUAAUAGCAAAAGAAUUUAGAGCAGGCUUAUGAAAAAGCCUUUUGCUUGCCAGAGCUUUAUGGAUUAGGGUUUUGUGAAUAACAGAUCAUGGGUCUGUAUUGCCCUAGGCAUCAAUUUCCACACAGAUCAAAAAAGAGGCUUCCCGCCUUACAGAUUCCUGGUACUGAAAUAGCCUUCAAUUUUCAAACCUGUCAGUUUACCCAAGUCAGAACUCUCACUGCCUCCCUAUUGGCCCGGAGCCACUACACAUAUUUGGUUAUAACCCAUGGAUGGAAUCUAAGUCCCCAAACAGGCCAUAUCCUGUAGGACCUUCAGGACUGGAAACCUAUGGUCUCACGGCUCUUCUUCCUUCUCCCCAAGCUGGAGG
rnacentral:lncRNA from 1 species